rnacentral:tRNA from 1 species
AGGACUUUAAGUUAUUUAAACUAAAAGCCUUCAAAGCUUUAAAAAAAAGUUAUAAUCUUUUAAGUCCUA